GCCAGGGUCUUCAUUCUGCUUUAAGUGCUCCAGGCACCUUCUAAGAAGCAGUUAAAGAAGACUGCAUAAUACCUGGAAACCUUCCAGUUUCAUUUGCAGAAUUCAGCCUCACUCAUAGUUCCCUGGAGGUACAGAUCUGUGAUUCCACAGUUUUGCACAAUUCACAGUGUCUCGAGCAGUUUCUAACUUCCUAUACAAGAUGUUCCAACUUUACGCAGUCCCAACCCCUAGUCUACAAUGAGAAAAACACCAGACAAACCCCAACAGAGGAUAUUCCUCACAACACAUGAGCAGUAGUUCUGGGAUCAAGGUUAUCAAAAACAAGGAGAGGCUGAGAAAAUGUCAGUCUGG